rnacentral:rRNA from 1 species
UACGAAGGUGGCUAGCGUUGCUCGGAAUCACUGGGCGUAAAGGGUGCGUAGGCGGGCCUUUAAGUCAGGGGUGAAAUCCUGGAGCUCAACUCCAGAACUGCCUUUGAUACUGAAGAUCUUGAGUUCGGGAGAGGUGAGUGGAACUGCGAGUGUAGAGGUGAAAUUCGUAGAUAUUCGCAAGAACACCAGUGGCGAAGGCGGCUCACUGGCCCGAUACUGACGCUGAGGCACGAAAGCGUGGGGAGCAAACAGG